rnacentral:lncRNA from 1 species
GAGAGAGUGUGGGGGACCCAUUAGCUGUGGAUGGUCGGAGCGUUGCAAGUGGUAUCAAAGCUGGUUAGCCAUCUCGUUUCUGACCUGAGAGGGGUCUUGAGACCUGUCGUGAGGCGCAACGAGGACGUUUCUGAUACCACAUGAGAUUCAGACCGUAUUGAUGGUUAGACUGAGGUUCGUAUUGGAUCGGCCUGGAGGGGACGGAUGGCUAGACAGAUGCGAUGGAAGAUGGGCUGGCC